GGGGUCGUCGGCUAGCAUGGUCCAGGCUUCAAGCCUCGGGCGCUUGAAACGCCGGUUCAAAUCCGGCCGACCCCA
rnacentral:tRNA from 1 species